UCCCUUCCUUGUGAUUCCUUAAGUUGUCUCCGUCAUGAGCACCGUCCCUGUCAUGACCCAGCACUGAGUUCAGCCAUGUGGCAGAGACGUGGACCAAGGAAUGCCCCUCUCCUCCAUUCCUUCAGAGCAAUUCCAGCUUGCCCACGGCCUGAGUUGUCUUGCUCCAAUUCCCUUACAUAUGUGCUCAGUCGAAAGUAUCCCAAGAACCCAGUGUGACCCAGGGACUAAGCACCUCCCUGCACCUCAACUUCACUAGGUGCUUGAAGAAUGAAAAGGGCGGAAGCUGGGAUAGACUUUUUUCCUCUGGUCAUGCUGAGAAGGUGAUCGCCAAGAUGCACCACAGAGAAAACCAGACUCAGUACCACAUCUGAAAUGUCUUCUCCCUCCGGUGUAGUCCCCAGAGGAACAUGACUCUGCUUCCUCGUCCCUCCUGACUCUGGACUGACCCCUGGACAGGCCCAACUAGUGAAGUUGCUGCCGUUUGAUAACACCCCGUUGCCAUUAGCCGCAAAGACCAACCACACCUGCUUCAUGCUCACAGAUGGGAAUUCACGGAUUCAACAAGCCUUGACUGGCUGCCCCCUACCAGCAGCCACAGAGUACUGGAGACCAGUUGAGCAACCCCAGGAGGCUCCCUGGGAAGACAUGAGGAGACCUUCAGUCCUUUGACGGUCACAUCCACCCCACACGGUACC